AUGGCCCUCUUCACUGUCCUGGAACCUUCAACAAAUAUUUUCUCACCUGUUACCCCUAAGUAGCCCAGGCUGUGAAAGCCACAAGCUGCAAAACGGGUAUAGUCUCAGAGCCUUGAAAGGGACCUGAAGUGCUUGCUUAGAUGGCUGCCGGCUGCAGUGUGUUUGUUCACUGGUUUAUUCCUGCAUCUAGGCAUCCACUCCCUCAACAAACACUUGAGUGGGCGAGGCAUUGUCUCGCACUGGGAACACAGAGCUGAACGGAAAUGUGGUUCUCACCUCAUGAAGUUUACUGAUUCUACCAGGCAACCAGCCCUCUCUGAGCUCAUGAAUCUUCUGGAUGCACUGAUUUCAUGGCUUCACUCUCCGGCUUUUACAUCCCCUCAGGAUCUUCACAGACGUAAUGACGUUAAAUGGAGGUCCUGUUGGAUCUGGGUGGGCUCUCAUCUGAUGACUGGUGUCUUUAUAAGAAGAGGAAGAUUUGGAAGCAGACACACACGAAGGGCAGACAGCCAUGUGGUGAAGAGACAGAGAUUGCAGUGAUGUGUCCACAAAACAAGGAAUGCCAAAGAUUGCUGGGACCACCAGAAGCUGGAGUGAGGCCGGGAAGGAUCCUCCCCUAGAGCCAUCAGAGGAAGCAUAUCCCUGCCAGCACCUUGAUUUGCUGACUUCUGGCCUCUAGAAAUGUGAGAGAAUAAAUUUCUGUUGUUUUCUGUCA